AUUGAACGCUGGCGGCAUGCCUUACACAUGCAAGUCGAACGGCAGCAUGAUCUAGCUUGCUCGAUUGAUGGCGAGUGGCGAACGGGUGAGUAAUACAUCGGAACGUGCCCUGUAGUGGGGGAUAACUAGUCGAAAGAUUAGCUAAUACUGCAUACGACCUGAGGGUGAAAGUGGGGGACCGCAAGGCCUCAUGCUAUAGGAGCGGCCGAUGUCUGAUUAGCUAGUUGGUGGGGUAAAGGCCCACCAAGGCGACGAUCAGUAGCUGGUCUGAGAGGACGAUCAGCCACACUGGGACUGAGACACGGCCCAGACUCCUACGGGAGGCAGCAGUGGGGAAUUUUGGACAAUGGGGGCAACCCUGAUCCAGCAAUGCCGCGUGUGUGAAGAAGGCCUUCGGGUUGUAAAGCACUUUUGUCCGGAAAGAAAUCGCACUUACUAAUAUUAGGUGUGGAUGACGGUACCGGAAGAAUAAGGACCGGCUAACUACGUG
rnacentral:rRNA from 1 species